rnacentral:rRNA from 1 species
AAUAAACGUUGGCGGUGCGCCUUAUGCAUGCAAGUCGAACGGGGUUAUGGUCUUCGGAUUGUAACCUAGUGGCGAACGGCUGAGUAACGCGUAAGCAACCUGCCUUGGAGUAGGAAAUAACUUGCCGAAAGGCGAGCUAAUGUCCUAUGUGGUAAUGAAGCAAAUGCUUGGUUAUUAAAGCCUUAGGGUGCUCCUAGAGGGGCUUGCGUCUGAUUAGCUAGUUGGCAGGGUAAUGGCCUACCAAAGCGAUGAUCAGUAGCUGGUCUGGGAGGAUGGUCAGCCAGAUGGGGACUGGGACACGGCCCCAACUCCUACGGGAGGCAGCAGCAAGGAAUUUUGGGCAAUGAGCGAAAGCUUGACCCAGCGACACCGCGUGAGGGAAGAAGGCCUUCGGGUUGUAAACCUCUUUUCUUGGGGAAGAAUUUUGACGGUACCCAAGGAAUAAGCCUCGGCUAACUACGUGCCAGCAGCCGCGGUAAUACGUAGGAGGCGAACGUUAUUCGGAUUUACUGGGCGUAAAGGGAGCGUAGGCGGUUCCUUAAGUCAGAUGUGAAAUCUUCUGGCUCAAUCAGAAGGCGUCAUUUGAUACUGGGGGACUUGAGAGCAGCAGAGGGAAAUGGAAUCCCCGGUGUAGCGGUGAAAUGCGUAGAUAUUGGGGAGAACACCAGUGGCGAAGGCGAUUUCCCAGGGUGUUUCUGACGCUGAGGCUCGAAAGCGUGGGGAGCGAAGCGGAUUAGAUACCCGCGUAGUCCACGCCCUAAACGGUGGACACUAGAUAUAGGAGGUAUCGACCCCUUCUGUGUCGAAGCUAACGCCUUAAGUGUCCCGCCUGGGGAGUACGGCCGCAAGGCUGAAACUCAAAGGAAUUGACGGGGGCCCGCACAAGCAGCGGAGCGUGUGGUUUAAUUCGAUGCUACAUGAAGAACCUUACCAGGGCUUGACAUGGCAGAAGUAGGAAUCCGAAAGGAAGACGACCUGUAUCCAGUCAGGAGCUGUCACAGGUGCUGCAUGGCUGUCGUCAGCUCGUGCCGUGAGGUGUUGGGUUAAGUCCCGUAACGAGCGCAACCCUUGUCCUUAGUUGCCAGCACGUAAUGGUGGGAACUCUAAGGAGACUGCCGGUG